GCACCUUGCUGCAGCCCUGUGAAAGGUGAGGGGGACACAAAACAAAAGUCGAAACAAACUUCUUCUUUGACUGAGCAACUCUUGUGCAACAGGCUGUCUCCUUUUCUAGCUCAUUUCUCCAGUCAUUCCACCAGUUACACAGGCGCCUACUGCCAGCCACUGCGGAGCCUUUCACCUCAACCAGAGUGUAACUGCUGUCCUCAGCUCUUGCUCGGCCCUCAGCCUAAAAAGGUCAACGUCAGGGGAAAUGGAAGCUUUCACUCCGACAUCUGAAAACUUGGAGUUUUCCUGUAUCCACUGACUUAAGGCCAUGGCACUGCAACGUGUUCUGGUGAAAAUGAUCCCUCUGGCGCUGUCUCUGCUGGUGAACUCAUGAAGAAUAAUCCUUCUCAGUUCCGAUAGGCUUUUGUUUUCAAAUUGUGGUUGUCCUGCAAGUGUCUGCAGCUCCUUUUUGUUCUCUGUAGGGCAUGCAUUUCAAAGAAUUAACCAAAAACACGGUGCUGAAAUGCUACAGAAUAUGCAAGGGCAUUAAUGACCAAGGCAACAAGUGUGAAGAACUCUUACAUUUAUCUUUUAAUGGUACAAGUGGAAUUAAUUGGGAGUACUGACAAUGCUUAAAUACCUUUGAACAAAUUGAAGAGGAAUCUCUCAGUGUCUGUUAUUUGUAUGGGCUCAUCCUCCUCUGGGGCCACUUUUUUCUUCAUUUCUUCCUCUUGGUAUUUGUUAAGAAAUCCAAAGGCAUCCCACAUGCGUAUGGUGUUGCUCAGUUGUAGACCCUCGUUGUACUUUCGAAGAUGUUCAACACAAACCCGCACUUUAUGGUCUUCGUCUUUAACAGCUAUGAGAGAAGAUCAUUCCUCAGAUCUAUGCAAGCCAGGCUGUUUUACAUCAGCAAGAAAUGAACAAACUUUAGACAGGGGCAACUGAGCAUGGUAAAAGUUGUGCUCACCUUUUCGCUCUUUUUGAACCACCCAUUGUUCAUAGUUUUGAGACCCCAGGUCACAUGUAGGGCUCAGACUGGCAUGGAUAUGAAUGGCAUUCAUUAUUUUCUUGAUUACAUCCCCAAAAGGAUCCUGAAAGAGAUUGUGUUUGGAUGCACAAAUAUGUAUCAUUCUUAAUUGUAUUCCUUUGAUAGAUAGGACAAGUUCCAGUGAAAAUAAUAACAGAGGCAUUUUCCUUAAGAAAAAAAAAAAAAAAGUCGAAACAAGUAUACCUCUUGUCGGGCUUCAACAGAAGCAAUUUGCUUGUACGGGUCCUUUUUGUGUUGCCCAUUGUCCUUGGUCAUGAUUUUAUAGGCAUCCAAGUUUGCACAAAUCUACCAAGGGAAACACAAAGAUUUACGGUAUCAGACUGAAUCAAAUUAAUUUAAAUCACCUCUAUCUAAGGAAAAUCCACUAUUGUGCUCAAUUUCAGUAUGUUCAAUAAAGAGGCUAUUGUAUCUAA